UUGGAGGGCAAGUCUGGUGCCAGCAGCCGCGGUAAUUCCAGCUCCAAUAGCGUAUAUUAAAGUUGUUGCAGUUAAAAAGCUCGUAGUUGAAUUUCGGAAUCAAUUUGUUGGUCGUGCCUCGGUACGUACUGGUAUUAUUGGUUUCUACCUUCUGAAGAACCUUGAUGUCAUUAAUUUGGUGUCUUGGGGAAUCGAGGACUGUUACUUUAGAAAAAUUAGAGUAGUUUAAAGACAAGCAUACGCUUAGAAUACUAUUAGCAUAGGAAUAAUAGAAAUAGGACGUUUGAUUCUAUUUUGUUGGUUUCUAGGAUCGA
rnacentral:rRNA from 1 species